CUGUCAGUUUUGUCGAAAAAUUAUUAAUUUGUUUACUUACAUAAUUAAUAUGCAAUUCAAUUUAUAAAUAACGAAAAACGAGCGAAAAGCACAGCCGCGCUAUUAACUAGCGCAAAGAACAAAAGGUAAAUACUCCCGAUGCCUGUUAAUUAUGGCGUAUCUUAACAAAGAAAAAAUGUCUUCAUAUUGUUUAUAUAUUUUUAGAUUUCAGCCAUAAAAUUAUAACGCCUCGGUUCCAAAAUAAUAUUUUCAAAUCAUUGAAAAUAAAUCGUUAAGCACAAACACCAACACAAUCAAGAUAAAAGAGUGGGAGGAAAUAUAAAUAUACCCUAUACAAGGUUUAACGAGUUGAAUAGCAGACGUGAGUUAAAUCAGCUGAAAAUUCAGUAGAAAGCCAUGAAGAUCAAUGCUC